CGAAGGGGGCUAGCGUUACUCGGAAUUAUUGGGCGUAAAGCGUGCGUAGGCUGUUAAGUAAGUUAAGAGUGAAAUCCCAGGGCUCAACCUUGGAACUGCUUUUAAAACUGCUUAACUAGAGUCUUGGAGAGGAUAGCAGAAUUCCUAGUGUAGAGGUGAAAUUCGUAGAUAUUAGGAGGAAUACCGGAGGCGAAAGCGGCUAUCUGGCCAAGUACUGACGCUGUUGCACGAAAGCGUGGGGAGCAAACAGGAUUAGAUACCCUGGUAGUCCACGCAGUAAACGAUGAGUGCUAGAUAUCGGGACUUUUGUUUCGGUGUCGCAGCUAACGCAUUAAGCACUCCGCCUGGGGAGUACGGUCGCAAGAUUA
rnacentral:rRNA from 1 species